GUGUCAGCCGCCGCGGUAAGACGAGCCACACAAACGUUAUUCGGAAUUACUGGGCUUAAAGGGUGCGUAGGCGGCGCGGAAAGUUGGGUGUGAAAUCCCUCGGCUCAACCGGGGAAUGGCGCCCAAAACUACCGUGCUCGAGGAAGACAGAGGUGAGCGGAACUCAGGGUGGAGCGGUGAAAUGCGUUGAUAUCCUGAGGAACACCGGUGGCGAAAGCGGCUCACUGGGUCUUAUCUGACGCUGAGGCACGAAAGCUAGGGUAGCGAACGGGAUUAGAAACCCGUGUAGUCC
rnacentral:rRNA from 1 species